rnacentral:rRNA from 1 species
ACUCAAAGGAAUAGACGGGGGCCCGCACAAGCGGUGGAGCAUGUGGUUCAAUUCGACGCAACGCGAAGAACCUUACCUGGACUCGAAAUGUAGUCGCCGCCUUCAGAGAUGAAGGUUUCCCGCAAGGGACGGCUGCAUAGGUGCUGCAUGGCUGUCGUCAGCUCGUGUCGUGAGAUGUUGGGUUAAGUCCCGCAACGAGCGCAACCCUCACCCUUUGUUGCUCGCCUGCAAAGGCAGCACUCUAAGGGAACCGCCUCGGAUAACGGGGAGGAAGGUGGGGAUGACGUCAAGUCCUCAUGGCCUUUAUGCCCAGGGCUACACACGUGCUACAAUGGCCGGUACAAAGCGUCGCUAACCCGCGAGGGGGAGCCAAUCGCAAAAAGCCGGUCUCAGUUCGGAUUGCAGUCUGCAACUCGACUGCAUGAAGCUGGAAUCGCUAGUAAUCGCGUAUCAGAAUGACGCGGUGAAUACGUUCCCGGGCCUUGUACACACCGCCCGU